UCCGGUUUGUCACCGGCAGUCUCAGUAAAGUGCCCAACUUAAUGAUGGCAAUUACCGACAAGGGUUGCGCUCGUUGCGGGACUUAACCCAACAUCUCACGACACGAGCUGACGACAGCCAUGCAGCACCUGUGUACCCAUUCUCUUGCGAGCACCCUCACAUCUCUGUAAGGUCUGGGCCAUGUCAAGGGUAGGUAAGGUUUUUCGCGUUGCAUCGAAUUAAUCCACAUCAUCCACCGCUUGUGCGGGUCCCCGUCAAUUCCUUUGAGUUUUAAUCUUGCGACCGUACUCCCCAGGCGGUCAACUUCACGCGUUAGCUGCGUUACCAAGACAAUUAAGUCCCGACAACUAGUUGACAUCGUUUAGGGCGUGGACUAC
rnacentral:misc_RNA from 1 species